GCUGAACCAUCCCAUCAAUGGCAGCUAUUCAGUAUAUUAUGUAACAUGAGCGGAACUCAAAGAGAAACAACACACAGGUGGAUGAAAUAAACUUUAUUGUAUCUCAUGUAAAUAGUCACAGUUUCCAAUGUAAAUAUUCCUAUUCACCUCCCGGGGGAAAUGAGGUUUUAUGGUGACAAUGACACUAACACACCAUUGUAACAAUGUACACAAUGUACACAACAAGCUCGAC